UCCGUGCCGGUUUAGCGGUUCUACGACCCAAAGAGUCCAGGGAGAUCCACCGAGUGGUGCCUGGCGUGUAGGACCAUGCAGCAGCCCUGUCGCUCGGAUCAGCAGCCCGCGAUGUCUUGGCCGCUGUGAACCCGUUCGGCCAGCGCCAACCUGCUCAGCCCAGACAGGCUCAACCUCUGGUACACUCCGCUCCGCGGGAGGCCAUCGGCACAGAACAGCAAGAGCGCGCAGGGAAGGCCUCCCCCCUCCAGCGGGGGACGCCAGGCUCAGUGUAGGGACACGCACUCCGACUGACUGACUGACUGGCACUG
rnacentral:other from 1 species